CGCGGGGAGGAGUAACGGUUGCUCGGGAGGCUCAUAACCUCCAGGUAGUGGGUUCAAUUCCCACCCCCGCAA
rfam:Parcubacteria bacterium GW2011_GWA1_50_14 TY56_C0010, whole genome shotgun sequence.